AACGAACGCUGGCGGCAUGCCUAACACAUGCAAGUCGAACGACACCUUCGGGUCUAGUUGCGCACGGGUGCGGAACGCGUGGGAAUCUGCCCUUCGGUUGGGAAUAACUGAUAUAAAUUUCAGCUAAUACCUUAUAAUGUCUUCGGACAAAAGAUUUAUCGCCAAGGGAUGAGCCCGCGUAGGUUUAGGUAGUUGGUGGGGUAAUGGCCUACCAAGCCGAGGAUACUUAGCUGGUAUGAGAGGAUGAUCAGCCACACUGGGACUGAGACACGGCCCAGACUCCUAGGGGAGGGAGCAGUGGGGAAUAUUGGACAAUGGGGGAAGGCCUGAUCCAGCCAUGCCGGGUGAGUCAUGAAGGCCUUAGGGAAGUACAGCUCUUUUACACGGGAUGAUAAUGACAGUACCGGGAGAAUAAGCACCGGCUAACUCCGUG
rnacentral:rRNA from 1 species